rnacentral:rRNA from 1 species
AUGGAGACAGGAAAAGUGUUCAGACCAAAAAUGCAUGCAUCCCACAGUGUAGCAGCAUGGUUUUCUCUUGGCUUCCCCUUGCUGGAAGACUGGUUUGUAAGCCUGGUAUUUUUAGGUGGAUUUCCGCCCUGUGAAUGCAAUUUUAUCUGUUUGAUGGCAACCGUUGUAGCAUCUUUGCUUGCAUCAUGUGUCAAUAAGGUGAAAGAUAUCAUUAUUGAUGAGGCCAUACUAAUCCUAGGGGUGAAAAAAGAGCUCAGAGAAGUCCUGCAAAGAGUAGAACUAAUCCGGUGUUGUAUAUAUGAUGCUGAGAAAAGGGGGACAAAAGAACUAGCAGUAAAUAAUUGGCUUGGUCAACUGAGAGAUGUUAUAUAUGAUGUUGAUGAAAUCUUGGACGUGGCUAGAUGUAAAGGAAGCAAGCUACUUCCUGACCACCCUUCGUCAUCAUCAGGCAAAUCAGUUGCAUCUAAAGGCCUUUCAAUGUCCUCUUGUUUUUGCAACAUUGGGCCACGCCGUGAUGUUGCUGUUCGGAUUAGAAACCUCAACAAAAAGAUUGAGAACAUUGCAAAUGACAAGAUAUUUUCAACUUUCAACAGUAGUACGCUGUCUACUCGAAAUGGUCCAACAUCCAAACUGAUAAGAAGCUCCAACCUUGUUGAGCCCAACCUUGUGGGGAAGGAGAUCAUACAUUCUAGCAGGAAACUGGUGAACUUGGUGCUUGCGCAGAAGGAAAAUAAGUCUUACAAAAUAGCUAUAGUUGGAACAGGAGGAGUUGGUAAGACAACUCUAGCUCAGAAAAUAUACAGCAAUCAGAAAAUAAAAGGAAACUUCAAGAUACAAGCAUGGGUCUGUGUUUCACAAGAGUACAAUGAAGUAGCUCUUCUCAAAGAGGUUCUCAGGAAUAUUGGUGUGCACAAUGAGCAAGGAAGAGAAAGAAGUGUGGAAUUUAAAAAACAUCGGGACGAGAUUGUUCGUAAAUGUGGUUGCCUCCCUUUGGCGAUCAAGGUUACUGCUAGUGCUUUGGCAAGCAGAGAUCUAACAGAGAACGGGUGGAGAAGGUAUUUGGACAAAUUUGGCUCCCAGAACAUGCUCUCGGAGGAAAUAGAAGGAGCUCUGUAUCUAAGCUAUGAUGAGUUAACGAUAUAUCUGAAGCAGUGUUUCCUUUAUUGUGCUUUGUAUGGUGAAGAUGUUAUCAUCGAACGUGAAGUAGUUACCUGGUUAUGGAUUGCUGAAGGCUUCAUCGAGGAGCGGGAAGGACAACUGCUGAAAGAGAUAGCAGAAGAGUACUACCAUGAGCUAAUCCUUCGGAAUCUCCUCGAGCCAGAUAUUUUAAGUUGUGACCAGGCCAAGUGCAAAAUGCAUGACCUCUUAAGACAACUUGCUUGCAAUAUAUCAAGGGAAGAAUGUUUUAUUGGAGAUAUUGAAACAUUAAGGGGUGAAAAUCUGUCAAAACUACGACGUGUUACUGCUGUUAUCAAGAAAGAUACGUUAGUGCUACCUAGAGUGGAUAAGCUGGAGGUUAAGGUGAGGACUUUCCUAACUAUGAAAGGUCCAUGGAGAAUUGAGGAUACAUUGUUCAAGAGAUUUCUGCUUCUUCGUGUUUUGGUACUGAAUUACUCACUUGUACAAAGCAUCCCAGACUAUAUAGGAAAAUUGAUACAUGUACGCCUACUUAAUCUAAAUUACACUAGCAUAUCUUGUCUUCCGGAAUCCAUUGGCUCCCUAAAGAACCUUCAAGUACUGAGCUUGAGAUGGUGUCAUGAUCUACACUAUCUUCCUUCCGCGGUGACCCAGUUGAGCAGUUUAAGAUGUCUUGACCUUUUUGGCACAAAAAUAAAUCAGGUUCCAAAAGGGAUAGGAAAAUUAAAGCUCCUCAAUCUUUUAGGAGAUUAUCCUGUUGGUGAUGGAAGUGAUAAUGCUGUUGUACAGGGUGGGUGGAACUUGAAAGAGUUGUCUUCUUUGUCGAAGAUGAGGCAUCUUGCUCUUGUUAAAUUGGAAAGAGCAGCUCACUACAGUAUAAAUGGAGUGCUUAAGGACAAAAAGCAUCUAAAAGAAUUAGUACUAUCAUGGACUAAACGUGAAGAGGGGUCAUAUUCAGAAGAAGAUGUUAGCAAUACUGAGAAGGUCUUUGAGCAGCUAAUACCUCCAUACAACCUGGAAGACCUAUCUAUUGUUAGAUUCUUUGGUCGGCAGUAUCCCACCUGGUUUGGUACCACCUAUUUGUCUUCAUUAAUAUACUUGAUCCUUGUUGAUAUACCAUCAUGUGUGCAUCUUCCAGCCAUUGGGCAGCUAUCCAACUUGAAAUAUCUGAAAAUUGAGGGAGCAUAUGCAGUUACCAAGGUUGGGCCUGAAUUUGUUGGCUGCGAGAAGGCUGAUCACGAGGUGUGGUCUUUUUUUGAGGAAGAAGCUGCUGCUGAUGAAAGGGGGGAGGAUGGAGCUGAUGAGAUUCGAAAAGAGGAUGCCCAAUCUGCAAGGUUGAAAUUGCUGCCUCGUUUGGUGGGGUUGGUAGUCGGACGUUGCGCAAAGUUGAGGGCUCUGCCGCGACAACUCGGAGAGGACACUGCCAGCUUCAAGGAGAUUAUUUUAAAUGGAAUAAACAGCUUGAAGGUUGUCGAAGACUUCCCACGUCUCUCUGAGCUCCUUGCUAUAGAGUAUUGUGAAGGCCUGGAGAGGAUCUGCUACCUCCCUCAAGUGACAGAACUGCGUGUACGUGGUUGCCCGAAUUUAAGCAAUGUAGAGGGAUUGGGCAGUUUGCAGCGCCUGGGGUUGGGCGAGGAUAUGGAAGAAAUACCUUCACGUUGGGUGCACGGGCUUCAAGAGCAGGACCAGCGGCUUCAUGGUGAAGACCUGGAUGUCUACACGUGGUCUAGCAGUUAG